AGCAAGCCCAUGUCAAAACUGCUGUGCUCGACCGGAGAGUUGAAUCAGAACUUUACCCUUUGUACCAAAAAGUGCAUAAGGGUGGACGUUACUUAACCAUCGUUUCAAUCCUGGUGACAUGAAGUCAUUGCUAACCAGGGCCGGUCACUGCAACCAAAACAAGACUUCAUGGGUGCAUAUCAGCCGAAACAGACCAGGUAAAAGGACGUCAGGGUAGCCAGCGCCGUCUCCAUGCAGAGGUACUGUGAAUACACACAGAAGUCAGCACGUACCCAGCUGCGGACGCGCUACCUCAAAUUUCCGCAGCGCCUUCGUGAACGGCUCGAGAGCGUCCAGCGUCGGGCGACCCGAACCAUCUGGAGCCGGUCAUCCGGUGCAGCGAACGUCUCCUACAACGCACGCCUUGGGGCACUCGAGUGGCGACCCCUCGGACAGAGGAGGCGGACACCACGUGUACGUGCGGUCUGUCGGCUGCUCGACAGGUCGCUUGCGGGGUCCCACCUCGCGUCAGUGGUGCGUGUCAGCAAAAGGACAGGUCAGCCCGAGCCGCUCCGCGGCCGUACCACUCGCCAUAGCGAAUAUUUCAUCCCCGCCGCCAUCAGAGACUUUCUAACUAUCCCACUAAACGCUCGCAACCCUCUACCGGCAUCAAACGAUGAGUCCCGAGAAAUGUGCAGGCUCUUCUCCCAUCAAGUGGCGUCGGACACCUCAUGAGCUGCGGCACCAUAACCACUGACCACUGUUGUUGUUUUGACUAUUUAUACUUACCCAAAUUGUUUUUCCCCUUUUCCUUUCCCCUCAUCCACGGUGUGUGCGGCGACCGGCUAGCAGGCGCAGAAGCGUAAGGGUUGUUACCCUUCUGUCUAGCCUCGCACGUCG